rnacentral:lncRNA from 1 species
GAAUGUUGGGAACCGAUCUGAUUCCAAGGAUUGAGAAGUUUUGCAGUGGUCAACUGGUAUAGACAUCCCAUUACCACUACUUCCUUCAUUGGACUGCAAGGUAUUUCUGUUUGGAAAAGUAAUGGAGUCCAGUCAACUUCAUUGAUCGCCAAGGACUGUCAAAAUUAUAAAACUUGCUGUGGAGCUCUGACAUGCCAGAAGCCGCUAGAAAAAGAAGUUUGACAUUCAGAAACUUAUCAAGAGGUUCUACUCUUUGGAUAGAGACCAAAAUCAUACUUUGAAUGAUAUGCAAUGCAAGACUCCCAAGAUUCUGGGCAGUGGCAGGGAGGUGCAGCUUCUAGUCUGCCGCAUGAUCACAAUGUCAGCUGGUCCCUCUUCUCAGGUGUAGAUCACCUAUUAUAAUUUUACCUAAUUUUGAUACUCUGAUAAGGAAAGUCCCAGGACUUAUCAGCUGGGAUAGGCCUCACUUACAAGACAGCUCUGUUCAGUAUUUGGAAGAAAGCCUGACAGGUUUCUUCGGAAAAGUGGCCAUCCAUGGAAUGAAUGAAAUGUUCUCUUUCUAUUCCACCUCUAGAGACCAUCAAAAAACAAUGGCUCAUAAUGCUUUUAGAACAGAAACUGAAGUUGUAUACUGUGCAUAUGUAAUCCUACACAAGAGGAAGGCAAUGUUUAAAGCUGCUGUCACCUCUUAGGGAAAAAACUGGAAUUCUGAGUCAAGGGAUUGCAGUGGCAAAGCUAGGCUAGGUCUUGGAGGCUGGUGUAAGGCGAUGUGGGUGAAGGCAGGAGGCUGAUGGAAAGACUGGGGGGAAGAAAAGCCGAAAUGGAUUCACGGUGCCUUGGAUGAAGGACGAGAGGGGAACUGCAAGCUCCUUCAACUGGUUCUGUCCGGUGAGAAGUGAUCAAGCUUGGGCUGACAAGAGGCUCAGGGAGCCCUCACGUUCUUUCGCUUUUUUACCUGCCAAUCAAACUGCUACAAGACAACACCCUGAUCUGGCAUGGACAUCGCGGGUCCAAGCCUGUAGCCCCAAAUCGGAUAAUCUCUGCAGCUGAUAACAAGCAAAAGAGAAGCCAGGCAACAGCCAUAUUAAAGAAGAAAACAAUCAACUCUGAGACACAGCCCAGGCAGACAGAAGGAAACGGAGCAUUAAUCCAACUGCAGUCACCCCAAAGUACAGGCCAUUUGGAUCCAGAAGAGAAACUGGUUCCUUCUACAAGCUCUCCCGUUCUCCCUGGGGCCCUUCACAGCCUCCUUGUCUACGUUGUGGCUGUGCUUUCCCUGAUCCAACUUAGAAAUAAUGUUUCAUUCAAGAUAAGGCUCGUGGCUUAGGAGAUUGUGACCUGGCUUGCAUCAUUCUAAGACUUCUAUCGUCUGUUUUCAAAACCCAAGGAGGACCUCCUUUUCUGUGUGAUAGUUCCUCAUGCUUUGCCAGCCACUGGGUCUUUAAGGAAGCUUGCCAAGAGUUCCCGGCUGGGAAGGACAGUUCGAGUUCAUCAUAGACAAUGAGCUGGCACCACAGUUUAAGUGACUCACCAACCUGGUUGCCCACUUCAAAAUGUCAAGAACCACACUAUCUAAUUGAAAGAACUGUGUUUUAGCAAAGUGUAAUUGGAUCGCCUGGCAAGAUCAUCUCAAACUAUGUCUCUGACCUUGCCUUUCAGUGGCUAUUUUGAGCACAAGAGGAGAAAGGAAAUGAUUCCUGAAUUAUAUCUUGUUUUUAAAAAUUAAGAUUAAUUAAUACUUGGUUUUAUGUUCAUUCCAUUGUAGGAACUUAGUGAUUAUUACAAAACAGUCAAAAUAGGUCAUAGCAAAAUGAACGUUUAAGAUUAGGUUAAAACAUUCCUCUGAAAUUUUAGUAUUCACUUUUGAAGUGUCAAUUACUAUAUUUCUGUAAUUUCUCAUUUUUUUCUUGGCUUAGAGUCAAGAUGAAAAAUGAUAUUUGAAUCAAAGACAUUGUUUUGUUAUAUAGCCACUCCUUUCUAAAAUGCAAAUCCACCCUCCCCUCACCAAUGCUUUAUUCUUUGUGCGCGCACACACACACACACACACACACACACACACACACACACACAGACAUACACAGAACCAGCACCCAAAUGGUAGAGGAGGUCCUUCCAAGACUUCUAGGACCUGGAUCAUGUAAGCAGUAGAUGAGAAAAUGAAGUAAGAGAUAUAGAGUAAUAACAAUAAAAGUCAAUGAUUUCAUUUUACAAAAAAGUCAUUGUGUAGUACUCAGAUAUUUUUAAGAGCAAGUAUUAUUAUGACUAAAGUAUAUUAUACUUCUAAAUUAUUAUGAUUCUCAUCUAAUUUCAAGCCACACAUAGGCGCCAUUUGAAAGCAUUUUGUGUUACAACCUAUCAACAAAAAUCAACUAAUAGUUUUAUAACGUGCAUAGGUUUACCCCAUGGGGAAUUAAAAUUUUUAUCUGCAAGUAUUUCUGUUGUUGUGAGACUUUAGGACAAGACAACAUUUGGUGUUAACAUAGAAGAAUAUUCUAUGGCUUUUUUAGCUUUAAAGUUCAUUACUCUAAAAUAAAGUACACGUGGUAUUUUUUUCUUCCUAGUGUUCUCUUAUUAUAUGUAGAGUAUUUUCGGUUGUUGUUUUUAACGUAUACAUUAUUUUUAUUAAGUCAUUUCAUAAAAGAUAAGAUAUAUACUAAUAGACCCUUGGUUUUCUCCUAAUUUAAUUAUUUCAAGUCAAGCAAAAUUGGGCAAUUUUCUUUCAGGAAAAAAAAAAUAUUGAGCAUGAUUUUGAGGUAAAACUGAUUAUUUACAGCAUCUUUUCUCUAAUAGGCUAACAUUUAUGAUGGAUCUUAUUUCAAAGUUGAUUAUUCUCAAAGAAAAGUGGAGAUAUUAGAAUUUCCGAGUAAAUUGCAUUGUUUUAAAAAGUACUUUAAUGCAUUGUUCACAUUGUUGCCAGCUAUUGACCAAAAAAGAGAAGAAGAAAAAAGAAAUAAAAAAAGCAGUAUCUGCUCCAAACGUCAAGUUUUGCAGUUUGAAAGACUUGUACAUUAUAAUUGUUUUUUUCUUUUUUGGAAAGCAGUAGUAAUUAAUACCAAAGGCAUAGACAAUUUAGGGCCAUAACCUCCCUUCCCCCCUCUCCACCUUUUUUUUUUUUUUUUUUUUUUUUUAACUUUAACCAUGAUAGGCAUCUCUGCAAGGUAGGUUUUAACAUAUUUUUUUCCUAAUUUUUUUCCCUCCAUUCAGUAAGAAGGAUAAGCUUUUAGAGUACCCAGUCACCGUGGUAACUGCCAAAAAAAUUCUCCUGAAGUUUGAAGAGGUCAGCUAGCAGGGUCAACAACCCUGGCCUCUCUCUGAGCUCGGUCUAGCAUGCCCCAGCCUGCGGUUGGAGUGUCAGGCCAGAUCUGACCCUGGGAGGUGGACCAUUCUGGCUCUGAUAUAAAUUUUUCGAGUCAGUUCAUGGCCUGGACUCUCCAGGUGGCCUCCAAAAUCGAUUUUGACCCCCUGACCCUGUCUCACGGAGGCAUAGCAUCCACCCUAAGUAAGGAUUUAGCCAGGAAUGACAGCUUUCCACUGAGUGUUAUUGGGGACAGUAUAAACAGUUUGGAAAGCAAGUAAGGAGGUGUGAGGGCUAGCAAUCAUUAAAAGCACAUUAAAAAACAAUUUUUAAAAAUCUUUAUUAGAGAAAGUUGUAAAUGCAUAUCUGUUACAGAAUUCCUGUGAUUUGUAGAGUUUUCUAGUCAGUUUUGAAUAUAAAUAGGUCACAUAUCUUUAUCUUUUUGCAUACUUUGUUACAAAUAUGCAAAUAAGAUAGGCAUACUUGCUACAAAAUAGGUACAGCAGGAAUGUAAUAUGUUCAGAAAAGGCAAACUGGUUAUUAAAACACAUUAACAGGUAAGGAGUUUCUAAUAUUUUAAAUACUAAAAUUUUACAUGUGUAUUUUGAAGUUUUUAAAAUGGAAAAAUAAAGAACCUUUAAAAAACCCAACAGUGUGGAAUAAAGAUAAACUUGUUGCACUCAAGGUACAUUUCUACUUUGUAAAGCAAGAAGCCAAUACACUCAGUUGGAUAAAAAUGAGAGAAAAAUUGUAAAUAUAGAGAGUUACAGCUUAUAGAGCUGAAGAGGAAUAAAACAAAAAAAAGUGUCUCUGAAUAACUUUAUGUAUUUUCAACAGUUUAAGAUAUCAGAAACUUGGAAAAUAAAUAUGAUAUAUAUAUAAAUCAUCA